UACAGAGGUCUCAAGCGUUGUUCGGAUUCAUUGGGCGUAAAGGGUGCGUAGGCGGCGCGGUAAGUCGGGUGUGAAAUCUCGGGGCUUAACUCCGAAACUGCAUUCGAUACCACCGUGCUUGAGGACUGGAGAGGAGACUGGAAUUUACGGUGUAGCGGUGAAAUGCGUAGAUAUCGUAAGGAAGACCAGUGGCGAAGGCGGGUCUCUGGACAGUUCCUGACGCUGAGGCACGAAGGCCAGGGGAGCAAACGGG
rnacentral:rRNA from 1 species